AAGAGGGUUGGACUGAAAACCUACAGGACCAGUAGAUCUCCAGGAAGAGGGUUGGACUGAAAACCUACAGGACCAGUAGAUCUCCAGGAAGAGGGUUGGACUGAAAACCUACAGGACCAGUAGAUCUCUAGGAAGAGGGCUGGGCAGCCCUGUACCUUAUCAUACCAGAUUCUGAGCCUCUCGUCUGGCUCUGUGAGAUUAGAUUAGUAGUCCCUCCCUCUUAUGAUUGUUGAUCUGUGGUGGAAAGAUGUUUUUAUUGCUUUACCUCAUUGCCAUGUUUUGCACCAGGACAGUUGGGGCUUUUCUCUAUGAUAUUAACCAGUGUAAAGACAACAACAGUACACUAACCCAGGUCCUAGAGUUCGAGGCAAAUGAAUAUCGUCAUUUCCCUUAGACGAAGUAGGGACCAUAUAGCCCAACAUAACAUACUGUACCAAAAGUGAAAAAACGCAAUUCAUUCUUACACCAUAUUGAUUCAUUCUUACAUACACCAUAUUGAUUCAUUCUUACAUACACCAUAUUGAUUCAUUCACUCGUACACCAUAUUGAUUCAUUCACUCUUACACCAUAUUGAUUCAUUCACUCUUACACCAUAUUGAUUCAUUCACUCUUACACCAUAUUGAUUCAUUCUUACAUACACCAUAUUGAUUCAUUCACUCUUACACCAUAUUGAUUCAUUCACUCGUACACCAUAUUGAUUCAUUCACUCUUACACCAUAUUGAUUCAUUCACUCUUACACCAUAUUGAUUCAUUCACUCGUACACCAUAUUGAUUCAUUCACUCGUACACCAUAUUGAUUCAUUCACUCUUACACCAUAUUGAUUCAUUCGAUAACCUUAUCAGAGUUUGUAUGAAUGGCACAGAGUCCCAGAUUAUGUUAUUUUAGUUAUAGGGCCGGAUCCCCAGACACACAGUCCUAGUUAUAGGACCGGAUCCCCAGACACACAGUCCUAGUUAUAGGGCCGGAUCCCCAGACACACAGUCCUAGUUAUAGGACCGGAUCCCCAGACACACAGUCCUAGUUAUAGGGCCGGAUUCCCAGACACACAGUCCUAGUUAUAGGGCCGGAUCCCCAGACACACAGUCCUAGUUAUAGGACCGGAUCCCCAGACACACAGUCCUAGUUAUAGGACCGGAUCCCCAGACACACAGUCCUAGUUAUAGGACCGGAUCCCCAGACACACAGUCCUAGUUAUAGGACCGGAUCCCCAGACACACAGUCCUAGUUAUAGGACCGGAUCCCCAGACACACAGUCCUAGUUAUAGGACCGGAUCCCCAGACACACAGUCCUAGUUAUAGGACCGGAUCCCCAGACACACAGUCCUAGUUAUAGGACCGGAUCCCCAGACACACAGUCCUAGUUAUAGGGCCGGAUCCCCAGACUCACAGUCCUAGUUAUAGGGCCGGAUCCCCAGACACACAGUCCUAGUUAUAGGACUGGAUCCCCAGACACACAGUCCUAGUUAUAGGGCCGGAUCCCCAGACACACAGUCCUAGUUAUAGGACCGGAUCCCCAGACACACAGUCCUUGUCGAGGAGAAGUUCCAUUGAAAAAGUGUUUUAGGUGCAGGUAACCUAGUGAUUAGAACAUUGGACUAGUAACCUAAAGGUUGCUGGAUCGAAUCCCAGAGUUGACCAGGUAAAAAUCUCUCGUUCUGCCCUUGAACAAGGCGGUUAACCCACUGUUUCCCGGUAGGCCGUCAUUGUAAAUAAGAAUUUGUUCUUAACUGACUUGCCUAGUUAAACAAAUUGAAAUUGUCCAGAAUUAGGCUUAAUCUGUAUCUGGGAAACAGGCCCAACAGGUAGAUUUAUGUGUUGUACCCAUAGAGUUAGGUAGAUUUAUGUGUUGUACCCAUAGAGUUAGGUAGAUUUAUGUGUUGUACCCAUAGAGUUAGGUAGAUUUGUGUUGUACCCAUAGAGUUAGGUAGAUUUAUGUGUUGUACCCAUAGAGUUAGGUAGAUUUAUGUGUUGUACCCAUAGAGUUAGGUAGAUUUAUGUGUUGUACCCAUAGAGUUAGGUAGAUGUAUGUGUUGAGCCCAUAGAGUUAGGUAGAUGUAUGUGUUGAGCCCCAUAGAGUUAGGUAGAUGUUUGUGUUGAGCCCCAUAGAGUUAGGUAGAUGUUUGUGUUGAGCCCAUAGAGUUAGGUAGGUUUAUGUGUUGAGCCCCAUAGAGUUAGGUAGAUGUAUGUGUUGUGCCCCAGGCAACAUUUUCUAUUUCAUUAAGGGACUUUUUCUUUUCAUUUGUGGUCCACCACCUUCACUCCUUCCGGGAUAUGUGCAAUAUGGUAUCUUAUUACCUGUCAUGAUGUGGAUAUGAAUAUGUAAUAUUGUAUGAACAAGUGACACGUUGUUUGAAAACAACAAAAUUACCAACGUCUUCCAUUAAGAAAUAUUUAUAGUCUUUAUAUGCAUUAGCUUGUUUAGAGGGACUGUGGUGCCAAUAUUAUAACUAACCAUGCAUGAAGGGUUGCUGGUGUUGCUUGCUUUAUGAAUAACCAAAAGGUUGCGAGGUCAAAUCCCCGAGCUGACAAGGUACAAAUCUGUUGUUCUGCCCCCUGAACAAGGCAGUUAACCCACUGUUCCUAGGCCGUCAUUGUAAAAUAACAAUUUGUUUCUCAACUGACUUGCGUAGUUAAAAAAAAUAAGGAAACAUUGUUUUCUAAAAACAGAACAUGUUUGGGAGAUUUGAUUAAAUUGUUAAAUUCUAUUCAGAGUGAAUUUCACCACAGAUAUACAGUUAUCUAAACGGUAUUUUAUGGAAUUAACACCUUUAGAAGCAGACAUAUUGACAUCCAGUGUGUUUACACAGGCAGCCCAAUUCUGAUCUUUUUUUUCCACUAAUUGGUCUUUUUGACCAAUCAGAUCGGCUCUUUUGCCACUAAUUGGUAUUUUUGGCCAAUCAGAUCUUCUCUUUUGCCAAUAAUUAGACAACAUAUUAGAGUUGUGCUUCCUGUGGAAACAGCCUUGAUCAAUAAAAUAACGAUCUAGAAUAUGAGAAUAUAUUUAGUUAAAAAGCAAGGCAUCUAGACAUUUCAGAAGAAAAUAAAAAAAUUCUGCACGAUUUUUCAGUUUAUUUGAUCUAUUGUAAUCUCUGUUUUUAAAGGAAUGUUUAGCAUAUUAGUAGCUAUAUAAUUUAAUGUUUUUUUUUUGUUUAGAGGGAAGACUAUGGUGUAUACUGUGGUUUAGGAGGAUGUAUGUUCCUCAUAUGAAACACCCAACGGUGCGUGAAGUACCACAUGUUGAAACAGAACGACUGACAUUUGAAUUGGCAAAACGGUCUUCUGGGGAAAUUCAAUGUUCAAGCUACGUUCCCUAUGGUACUAGUGCACUACUUUUUGACCGGGGAGGGGGGCAUAGGGCUCUGGUACAAAGUAGUGCACUAUGUAGGGAAUAGGGUGUCAUUUUUGGAAGUAGCCUCGGACUCGUACAGCAUCAUUCUGUAAGAACUAAGAACCCACUGAUUUAGGAGGCCUGUGUUGAUGCCUCUUUUCACGGUUUACAUUCUGUUCAAAUGUUGCACCGUUGUCCAUAUCAAUCGAACUAUGUAUGCAUGUGAAUUAUUAUGCAUCCUUCCUAUUUAAUUGAACGUAAUAGAGCUGCCUCAAGGAGAAACGACUGAGCAAAAAAAUAUAUAUAAUAAUAAUUAUGCUGUAACCCUUUCUUGACAUGUGUGAUCUAAUUCACUUCCUGUGUGAACUAAUUCACUUCCUGUGUGAACUAAUUCACUUCCUGUGUGAACUAAUUCACUUCCUGUGUGAACUAAUUCACUUCCUGUGUGAACUAAUUCACUUCCUGUCUUGAAUACUGUGUUUAAAAAAAUAUAUAUUAAAAAAAUUGUAACGCUACAUAAUGUGGCAAUGCUUAGGAUAGGUAAAUCUAGAAUGUAUCGAUCGUUUAAAACUAUAUUAAAUGCGAGGAGAAAAUAUUAUGCAUGACUAAAAGUAAUCAAUGAUUUGUAUCGCGGGCACUAAUCAACUUGGGAAUUUGCGUUGAUCAUUAGAUCUGUGAUACUGAAAGGUUGAUAUUGUGGCGCUGUGAUAUAAGGUAGUAAUACGUUUUACAGGUCUUGAAUAACAGGGGAUGGUUGUUGACAUCACCCUGAGCACAUUGUUUUGAUAAAAAGAAUGUACGAUGUUGAUCAACAGCCUGAAAUCCAGGCUGUUUGCGCUAUCAUUCUACUAUCAUUCUACUAUCAUUAGACUAUCAUCGACUAUCAUUCUACUAUCAUUUGACUAUCAUUCUACUAUCAUUUGACUAUCAUUCUACUAUCAUUCUAAUGUCAAGGAGUGGAAUGAUGGCCCAAAAGACUGGAUUUCAGGCUGUUGAUCCAAGUAUUACUUGUAAACAAACAGAAUGAGUUGACUGUGCGUUGUGGUGUGACUAUGCACUCCAGCGAGAGGCCCUGGGGCAUGCUGGAGCAACGGAGUCUCCCGUCUCGGUUGUGGAUUAACUGAAGAAAUCUGCAUCAGAAAUGUAGCAAUAAAAAGCAGCAUGGUGCCAAUGACA